rnacentral:rRNA from 1 species
GAUGAACGCUAGCGGGAGGCUUAACACAUGCAAGUCGAGGGGCAGCAUAAGGUAGCAAUACUUUGAUGGCGACCGGCGCACGGGUGAGUAACGCGUAUGUAACCUGUCCUUAACAGGAGGAUAACCCGGAGAAAUUCGGACUAAUACUGCAUAAAAUUAUAAAUAGGCAUCUAUUAAUAAUUAAAGCUACGGCGGUUAGGGAGGGGCAUGCGUAACAUUAGCUGGUUGGUAGGGUAACGGCCUACCAAGGCAAUGAUGUUUAGGGGACCUGAGAGGGUGACCCCCCACACUGGUACUGAGACACGGACCAGACUCCUACGGGAGGCAGCAGUGAGGAAUAUUGGUCAAUGGGCGGCAGCCUGAACCAGCCAUCCCGCGUGAAGGAAGAAUGCGCUAUGCGUUGUAAACUUCUUUUUCAGGGGGAUAAAAUUCUGUAUGUAUGCAGGACUGAAGGUACCCUGAGAAUAAGCAUCGGCUAACUCCGUGCCAGCAGCCGCGGUAAUACG